CUUGGAAAAUCUGCAUAUCUGACAACAUUUUUUACUGUUUUAAAGAUCGAAAUGCAGACUGCCAACAGGAUAUGAAGCAUAGCAAAACUUGUAUUCCUGUUCUGAGAGACACUUACAUGAGCUGACAAUCUACUGGUUCAUCAAUGAAACAAUAUUAAAUUAUGAAGAUGUAAGGAAAAAAUCCUACACUAUCAGUGUUGCAGUUUGCAAGGUAAGCUGUCCCCUACAAGAUAGGAGAUAUUAAUGUUCUUUAAAAAUCU
rnacentral:lncRNA from 1 species